rnacentral:rRNA from 1 species
UACGUAGGGUCCGAGCGUUGUCCGGAAUUACUGGGCGUAAAGAGCUCGUAGGUGGUUUGUCGCGUUGUCCGUGAAAACUCACAGCUUAACUGUGGGCGUGCGGGCGAUACGGGCAGACUGGAGUACUGCAGGGGAGACUGGAAUUCCUGGUGUAGCGGUGGAAUGCGCAGAUAUCAGGAGGAACACCGGUGGCGAAGGCGGGUCUCUGGGCAGUAACUGACGCUGAGACGCGAAAGCGUGGGGAGCGAACCGG